rnacentral:rRNA from 1 species
UACGUAGGGGGCAAGCGUUGUCCGGAAUCAUUGGGCGUAAAGCGCGCGUAGGCGGCCCGGUAAGUCCGCUGUGAAAGUCAAAGGCUCAACCUUUGAAUGUCAGCGGAUACUGCCAGGCUAGAGUCCGGAAGAGGCGAGUGGAACUCCUGGUGUAGCGGUGGAAUGCGCAGAUAUCAGGAAGAACACCAACGGCGAAGGCAGCCCGCUGGGACGGAACUGACGCUGAGGCGCGAAAGCGUGGGGAGCGAACAGG